AAAUCCUGUAGGAAUUACUUAGAUUCUGAAAGUCAAUUCUUAUAACCCAAACCUCCAAAAAGAUCCAUUAAACGAUAUUCGACAUAAACAGCAAAUAACUUGCAUGUGUAUGCGCUGAUCAGUUCUGUACUGUCUGCACGCGCAGUGUCGGAUUUCAGCCGCGCGCGUCGUGCGCGAGUAAUUAGAAUGCGCGUGAACGCAGCAUUUUAAACUUCAACCGUUACGGACGUCCGUUUGAGCUCAGCGCUCGAGAGGACGACGAUUAAAUUAAAGCAAAAAGAAGAAAUGUGGGCCGGGCCUGCGCUAUUCUCCGCCAGGAGAUUGUAUUGGACCUAGAAAACGCAUAAAACGAUGUUUCAGGAGCAGUCAAAUCACGUGAUCAGCCAAGACCGCAAGAGAAACCCCGAAGAACAAAGAGAAGAGGUGAUGAAGAUGCUUCUUCUGUGGAUAUAGCUAUGCAUUAUGAAAUGAAGAUGAAGAAAAGACCUUCACAUAACUGCAAUCCAAUGACACAAAAAAGUACAUUAUUUUUACUCACAGUACCAACUUUGGGAAACUUAUAAAUAUGCUAAUCUGAAGUGGCUUAUAUUUGUUUUUCUAUUUUCCAUGUUUAAUGCAAUAAUUAAUAAUAAUAAAUUAAUAUUUCUGUUUGCACUCUCACUGCAGGGAUGGACUCUGGAGUGCAGCAUUACUUCAAUAAGAUGAAAAUAACACACUCCUCUAUGAUUCACAUAAGUUUUAAGAUGUGAUUGUGAGAGAUUCCUUUCUGUUUUCUGUUGUACUGUACUCUCCAUAAGUCUAAUAAAAGUUUUUCUGACUUGCAUCUCCAUCUUAGGAUGUCAAGCCCCCUGAACGCAAAGAGGGUCCGCAUCAAAAUGGUUUGAUUGAUUCUGAUUGAAAACAGAGAUGUCAAAAGUAUCUGUUGGCUAUCUACUUUUUGUUCAAUAUGGAGCACCCAAAAGCCAGUUUCUUUCAUUCAGCACUAUUUAGCCCUUCUCAGUACUGAAUUUACCAUGGGUCAUUUGUUUUUAUUGUUUAAAUGCUUAUCUGAAUGUUAAAUUAUCAUUUAACGCUUAUGAAUUUAAAAACAAUUCUACUAGCUAGUAGCUAGUCUUUUAGUUCAUUUUUUUUUAGAAACAUUUAUUUAUGUUAACUCUUCUAACUAUUGCUCUAUGAAUUGCAGUGUGUUUUAUGUUGCU